rnacentral:tRNA from 1 species
GGGGCUGCAGAUCGCGGUGAUCGAGUACGCCCGGAACGUGCUGGGCCUCGAGGGGGCCAACAGCACCGAGUUCGACCCCUACACCCCCC